UCGGGAAUUUUGGGCAAUGGGCGAAAGCCUGACCCAGCAACGCCGCGUGAAGGAUGAAGUAUUUCGGUAUGUAAACUUCGUAAGAAUAGGAAGAAUAAAUGACGGUACUAUUUGUAAGGUCCGGCUAACUACGUGCCAGCAGCCGCGGUAAUACGUAGGGACCAAGCGUUGUUCGGAUUUACUGGGCAUAAAGGGCGCGUAGGCGGCGUGGUAAGUCAUCUGUGAAAUCUCCGAGCUUAACUCGGAACGGUCAGAUGAUACUGCUGUGCUAGAGUACAGAAGGGGCAAUCGGAAUUCUUGGUGUAGCGGUGAAAUGCGUAGAUAUCAAGAGGAACACCUGAGGUGAAGACGGGUUGCUGGGCUGAUACUGACGCUGAGGCGCGAAAGCUAGGGUAGCAAACGGGAUUAGAUACCCCCGUAGUCCCUGAGCGGGCUGGCAAGGCGCAU
rnacentral:rRNA from 1 species